rnacentral:rRNA from 1 species
GACGAACGCUGGCGGCGUGCCUAAUACAUGCAAGUCGAGCGAAGUUUUUCUGGUGCUUGCACCGGAAAAACUUAGCGGCGAACGGGUGAGUAACACGUAAAGAACCUGCCUCAUAGACUGGGACAACUAUUGGAAACGAUAGCUAAUACCGGAUAACAGCAUUAACUGCAUGGUUGAUGUUUAAAAGUUGGUUUUGCUAACACUAUGAGAUGGCUUUGCGGUGCAUUAGCUAGUUGGUGGGGUAAAGGCCUACCAAGGCGACGAUGCAUAGCCGACCUGAGAGGGUGAUCGGCCACACUGGGACUGAGACACGGCCCAGACUCCUACGGGAGGCAGCAGUAGGGAAUCUUCCGCAAUGGGCGAAAGCCUGACGGAGCAACGCCGCGUGAGUGAAGAAGGAUUUCGGUUCGUAAAGCUCUGUUGUUAGGGAAGAAUGAUUGUGUAGUAACUAUACACAGUAGAGACGGUACCUAACCAGAAAACCACGGCUAACUACGU